GGUUGCAAGGUUUCUUAUGAAGACUGUUUCUCAGUUGGGUUCCGGCAAACCGCCUGUUGGAACAACAACUUAUAUGGGGAAAACCGAACAUUUAAUGCUGUGCCGCUGUGAUGUCCAGAGAGCUGAAGACUGGUUGAAUCCUGCAACUAUUCUAGAGGCAUUUGAAGCCCGGGCUGUUAGAAUGGCAGUUACUUGUGCCAAAAACAUAAGCAAGGCUCCAAACCCAGAAGAAGGCUUUUCUGAUCUGUCUGCUGAUUUAUCGGAAGCUGCUGUAGCUCAUAUCGAACUGAUUAUUGUAUCCAAGUUCAUUGAGAAAGUGCAACAAGACAUAGAAGGGAAUGGUGUGAAGGAACAACUCUAUAAACUCUGCAAUAUAUAUGCACUCUCUCUGAUCCAUAAGCAUCUCGGUGAUUUCCUUGCCACUGGGUGUAUCACACCAAAACAAGCAGCUCUAGCAAACGAGCAGCUCCGCUCGCUAUAUGCCCAGGUUCGACCUAAUGCAAUUCCACUGGUUGAUGCAUUUAACUACACCGAUCAUUAUUUGGGUUCUGUCCUCGGUCGCUAUGAUGGGAAUGUGUACCCCAAACUGUAUGAGGAGGCAUGGAAGGAUCCCCUCAAUGACUCGGUUGUUCCUGAUGGGUAUCAUGAAUUCAUUCGACCCGUGCUCACGCAGAAGUUUAGAGUGUCA
rnacentral:misc_RNA from 1 species